UACGUAGGGGGCAAGCGUUGUCCGGAUUUAUUGGGCGUAAAGAGCGUGUAGGCGGCCGCACAGGUCCGUUGUGAAAACUGGAGGCUUAACCUCCAGACGUCGAUGGAAACCGUGCGGCUAGAGUCCGGAAGAGGAGAAUGGAAUUCCUGGUGUAGCGGUGAAAUGCGCAGAUAUCAGGAAGAACACCGGUGGCGCAAGCGGAUUGCUGGGCCAUAACUGACACUGAGGAACGAAAGCUAGGGGAGCAAACGGG
rnacentral:rRNA from 1 species